UACAGUGUGAUGGUAAGUAAUAAACUCCACUGGUGUUCGAGUCAGUGUUGCAAAUUUUCUCAGCGAGGUUUAAAAAAAAAUAAAAAUAUGAUUAAAACUGCAGAUUAGCUUUUUUCAUUUGAUUUUUUUUAAAAUCAAUUGAGUUCUGCAUUUAUAAAUGUUAGUGAAGAAAUAUUUACAUCUCGCUCUUUUAAACCAAGGCGGAAACAGUGGCAGCUUUGCACAUGCGCAUUUAAUUCGCAGUCUGGUGUGGAUCUCCUCUCUGCACUGACAUGAUGAGCCAGCUACCAAAAUGUUGAACUUUUGUCACAGGGACACACACACACUCAGACGCUUUCGAGGUGUAUGAAUGUGUGUCAGUGUGCAGACCCUACAUCAUCAUCAUCAUCAUCAUCAUCAUCAUCAUCAUAUCGCCAUUUCGGAUGAUACGACAUCCUGCAGCUGUGACCUCCGUCGCUUUGCUCCCUUUUCAGGAUGAGGCUCGGAUGAAGGGACACAGCGGGUGAAUCAUUCACCGCCAUAAACUUUCGCUUACUUCUUAUGAAAUCAGUCGAGAGAGCGGCCAUGUUGGCACUUGAUCUUUGCUCCUGCUGGCUGUUGACACGAAUAAACAUUUGUCUUUUGACUUCA